rnacentral:rRNA from 1 species
GCUAUCUACAGGCUUAACACAUGCAAGUCGAGGGGCAGCAUGGUCUUAGCUUGCUAAGGCCGAUGGCGACCGGCGCACGGGUGAGUAACACGUAUCCAACCUGCCGUCUACUCUUGGACAGCCUUCUGAAAGGAAGAUUAAUACAAGAUGGCAUCAUGAGUCCGCAUGUUCACAUGAUUAAAGGUAUUCCGGUAGACGAUGGGGAUGCGUUCCAUUAGAUAGUAGGCGGGGUAACGGCCCACCUAGUCUUCGAUGGAUAGGGGUUCUGAGAGGAAGGUCCCCCACAUUGGAACUGAGACACGGUCCAAACUCCUACGGGAGGCAGCAGUGAGGAAUAUUGGUCAAUGGGCGAGAGCCUGAACCAGCCAAGUAGCGUGAAGGAUGACUGCCCUAUGGGUUGUAAACUUCUUUUAUAAAGGAAUAAAGUCGGGUAUGGAUACCCGUUUGCAUGUACUUUAUGAAUAAGGAUCGGCUAACUCCGUGCCAGCAGCCGCGGUAAUACGGAGGAUCCGAGCGUUAUCCGGAUUUAUUGGGUUUAAAGGGAGCGUAGAUGGAUGUUUAAGUCAGUUGUGAAAGUUUGCGGCUCAACCGUAAAAUUGCAGUUGAUACUGGAUAUCUUGAGUGCAGUUGAGGCAGGCGGAAUUCGUGGUGUAGCGGUGAAAUGCUUAGAUAUCACGAAGAACUCCGAUUGCGAAGGCAGCCUGCUAAGCUGCAACUGACAUUGAGGCUCGAAAGUGUGGGUAUCAAACAGGAUUAGAUACCCUGGUAGUCCACACGGUAAACGAUGAAUACUCGCUGUUUGCGAUAUACAGCAAGCGGCCAAGCGAAAGCGUUAAGUAUUCCACCUGGGGAGUACGCCGGCAACGGUGAAACUCAAAGGAAUUGACGGGGGCCCGCACAAGCGGAGGAACAUGUGGUUUAAUUCGAUGAUACGCGAGGAACCUUACCCGGGCUUAAAUUGCAGAUGAAUUACGGUGAAAGCCGUAAGCCGCAAGGCAUCUGUGAAGGUGCUGCAUGGUUGUCGUCAGCUCGUGCCGUGAGGUGUCGGCUUAAGUGCCAUAACGAGCGCAACCCUUGUUGUCAGUUACUAACAGGUUCCGCUGAGGACUCUGACAAGACUGCCAUCGUAAGAUGUGAGGAAGGUGGGGAUGACGUCAAAUCAGCACGGCCCUUACGUCCGGGGCUACACACGUGUUACAAUGGGGGGUACAGAGGGCCGCUACCACGCGAGUGGAUGCCAAUCCCCAAAACCUCUCUCAGUUCGGACUGGAGUCUGCAACCCGACUCCACGAAGCUGGAUUCGCUAGUAAUCGCGCAUCAGCCACGGCGCGGUGAAUACGUUCCCGGGCCUUGUACACACCGCCCGUCAAGCCAUGGGAGCCGGGGGUACCUGAAGUGCGUAACCGCGAGGAGCGCCCUAGGGUAAAACUGGUGACUGG